UCCGUAAUAGUACAGUGGCUAGUAUGCUCCGCUCUCAUGUCAGUGCCGGAGUGACCGGAGUUCGAUUCUCCGUUACGGAA